rnacentral:rRNA from 1 species
UACGUAGGGUGCAAGCGUUGUCCGGAAUUAUUGGGCGUAAAGAGCUCGUAGGUGGCCCUGUCGCGUCGGCUGUGAAAACUCGGGGCUCAACUCCGAGCUUGCAGUCGAUACGGGCAGGCUAGAGUUCGGCAGGGGAGACUGGAUUCCUGGUGUAGCGGUGAAAUGCGCAGAUAUCAGGAGGAACACCGGUGGCGAAGGCGGGUCUCUGGGCCGAUACUGACACUGAGGAGCGAAAGCGUGGGGAGCGAACAGGAUAGAAACC